UGGGGAAUAUUGGACAAUGGGCGAAAGCCUGAUCCAGCCAUGCCGCGUGUGUGAAGAAGGCCUUUUGGUUGUAAAGCACUUUAAGCGAGGAGGAGGCUACUUGGAUUAAUACUCUAGGAUAGUGGACGUUACUCGCAGAAUAAGCACCGGCUAACUCUGUGCCAGCAGCCGCGGUAAUACAGAGGGUGCGAGCGUUAAUCGGAUUUACUGUGCGUAAAGCGUGCGUAGGCGGCUUCUUAAGUCGGAUGUGAAAUCCCUGAGCUUAACUUAGGAAUUGCAUUCGAUACUGGGAAGCUAGAGUAUGGGGGAGGAUGGUAGAAUUCCAGGUGUAGCGGUGAAAUGCGUAGAGAUCUGGAGGAAUACCGAUGGCGAAGGCAGCCAUCUGGCCUAAUACUGACGCUGAGGUACGAAAGCAUGGGGAGCAAACAGG
rnacentral:rRNA from 1 species